rnacentral:rRNA from 1 species
UGGGGAAUAUUGGACAAUGGGCGAAAGCCUGAUCCAGCCAUGCCGCGUGUGUGAAGAAGGUCUUCGGAUUGUAAAGCACUUUAAGUUGGGAGGAAGGGCAGUUACCUAAUACGUGAUUGUUUUGACGUUACCGACAGAAUAAGCACCGGCUAACUCUGUGCCAGCAGCCGCGGUAAUACAGAGGGUGCAAGCGUUAAUCGGAAUUACUGGGCGUAAAGCGCGCGUAGGUGGUUUGUUAAGUUGGAUGUGAAAUCCCCGGGCUCAACCUGGGAACUGCAUUCAAAACUGACAAGCUAGAGUAUGGUAGAGGGUGGUGGAAUUUCCUGUGUAGCGGUGAAAUGCGUAGAUAUAGGAAGGAACACCAGUGGCGAAGGCGACCACCUGGACUGAUACUGACACUGAGGUGCGAAAGCGUGGGGAGCAAACAGGAUUAGAUACCCAUGUAGUCCCUGAGCGGGCUGGCAAGGCGCAU